rnacentral:rRNA from 1 species
UGGGGAAUAUUGCACAAUGGGCGCAAGCCUGAUGCAGCCAUGCCGCGUGUAUGAAGAAGGCCUUCGGGUUGUAAAGUACUUUCAGCGAGGAGGAAGGCGUUGUGGUUAAUAACCGCAACGAUUGACGUUAGUCGCAGAAGAAGCACCGGCUAACUCCGUGCCAGCAGCCGCGGUAAUACGGAGGGUGCAAGCGUUAAUCGGAAUUACUGGGCGUAAAGCGCACGCAGGCGGUCUGUCAAGUCGGAUGUGAAAUCCCCGGGCUCAACCUGGGAACUGCAUCCGAAACUGGCAGGCUAGAGUCUUGUAGAGGGGGGUAGAAUUCCAGGUGUAGCGGUGAAAUGCGUAGAGAUCUGGAGGAAUACCGGUGGCGAAGGCGGCCCCCUGGACAAAGACUGACGCUCAGGUGCGAAAGCGUGGGGAGCAAACA